UACGUAGGGGGCAAGCGUUGUCCGGAUUUACUGGGCGUAAAGAGCGUGUAGGCGGCCGAACAGGUCCGUUGUGAAAACUGGAGGCUCAACCUCCAGACGUCGACGGAAACCGUAUGGCUAGAGUCCGGAAGAGGAGAGUGGAAUUCCUGGUGUAGCGGUGAAAUGCGCAGAUAUCAGGAAGAACACCUAUGGCGAAGGCAGCUCUCUGGGACGGUACUGACGCUGAGACGCGAAAGCGUGGGGAGCGAACAGG
rnacentral:rRNA from 1 species